ensembl:lncRNA
GUAGAAUGCCCUGAACUAUUAAGGAUAUCAGAGUGCAGUGUACUUAGAGGAAAGUACCACAGACCCCAUAGUCUGAAACAGAAAAAAGUUAAAAGCUUAGAGGCCUUCGCUAUCUUUAUCUCAAGUCAUGCCAUACUUACUAUAGAUUAUAGCGAGGAACAUACUAUCCAAAACAAGGAUUUUCUAGAAACGUGCAUCAGAAUCAUCUGGGGAGCUUUUCUGAAUACUCAUAUCUAGGCUCUUUACCCCAGUGGUGCCAUGUACUUUCAGACAGUUCCUCAAGUAAUUCUAGUAGUCACCUCCACUGAUGUAAAAAGGGUCGACAUAUGUCCCUGACGUCUUUCAAGUUGCUGGUCCCAAAGGUAAAGGCUUGUCUGCAUUUUCUUCUCUCAAAUGCUUUAAGAUACCACUUUACACCUACCUCCCAAGUUCUCAUUAAGAACUUGAUAGGUAAAGUUAAUAAAUUCCUAUUACUAAACUUUGCAGAAUUAUAAAGAAAUUAAGGUACUCAAAGGUUAGAGCCCAGCUGAUACCUUGUUUUUCAAAAGGCAGAAAGUAAAUUCUGCAAGUUACAAGAAUGUCAACUCUUGAUAGGAUUCUAAAGUGGAUUUAUUAAAUGGAUGAUUUGUGAACUCUUAAUGGUCCACCAGGAGUUACGGGUCACUAUAACCAGGGUUGUUUAGUAUUUUAACUAGGAUUCUGAACUUGUCAAUCUGUAGAAUGCAGUCAGACUAACAAUUCUCAAAAGUGUUUUUGCUGACUCUAGUUUUGAGAGAUAUAAGUUCUCUGGUUGAAUAAGUUUAGAAAAAUUUUAAAACAAAUUAGGCAGGCUUCUUGGAGCCAAUAUGCAGAAUGAUUAAACAAGGGAAAUACAGAACACAGUAUACUAAAUUCAGAAUUUGACCAUAUCCUCUUUCUCUUUUCCCGCACUGGUUCUCUAAACUUCCUUAUAAAUACUAGCCAUCAGAAGACAGAAUUAACUCUUUGGGGUGUUUGUGAACUGAACUUUAUGAGGAGUUGUUUUUGAGACUUAUCUGAGGCUGGUUAUUUUUUUAUAUUUUAUUUUAUUAAUACUUGGGUAUACCAUUUGGAAACUUAAAAAUAAAUGACUAAUGUCUUGGGGAAAUGAAGUUUCAUGUGAAUCAUUCUGGGGGAAAUGAAGUUUCAUGCGAAUCAUUCUUUUAUAAUUAAUUAAAAAUUACAGACCUAACUCUUUAUAUAUAAAGUGGAUUCUUCUAGAGAAAACAGAUUUGAUGAUACUAAUUUUUAUAAGUCAUCAACCUUCCUAAACUCAUUCAUACACAAGUAGAGAUUGUGUAAAAAGAUGAAAGUGAGCUGAAUGGUUAUCUGGAGACUCUUCCUUGUUACAUCUGAAUCACUUAACUGCAAGCUUAUGCCUCCCCUAAUUUCCAUUCCAUCAGCCUCUAAUUUAGAAUUAAAUUGAAACCCACAAACUUUAUAGCUAGGAACAUUUUUUUUUCCUUCUGAAGAAAUCUGCAAAGAAGUACUCUUUAUUGAUUUAACAUAGUUUCCAUAUGUUUAAUCCCUGAAAUAACUGAAUAUUAGUUGUUUAAAGCUUGUUAUAAAACUUACUACAUUUAUCAUAAUUAGCUUUAUACAUGCUGAUAGCAGAGGAUUUGAUCCAAAACAAAUCAGAUGAAAGUGUUAGUCAGUCACUGGUGUCUGAGUCUUUGCCACCCCAUGGACUGUAGCCUGCCAGGCUCCUCUGUCCAUGGAGUUCUCCAAGCAAGAAUACUGGAGUGGGUUGCCAUUUCUUUCUCCAGGUGGUCUUCCCAACCAGGUAUCAAACCUGGGUUUCUUGCUUUGCAGGCAGAUUUUUUACUGUCUGAGCCAUCAGGGAAGCCCAGAGAUGAAAAGAAAUUGAUCCUUAAAUACAGAAGAAAUGCUCUGAGUACCUACUUUUGUACUAGGUACUCAGGGUUUAAAACAGGGAGCCAAACAGAUACCAUCUUCCCCCCCUUAUAGUAUAAUGGAAAGACAUCUGUUAAUCAGCCUCAUGAAUAAAUAAUUUUAAAUAAGUGCGAUGCAGGAAAAGCAUAAAUUGUAUGAAGGCUAAUCUGGGGAGGUUGGGGACAUCUUCCCUGAAGUUGUGACAUUUGAACUACUGGUGGACAUGAAGUAUGGGAGGGCAGAAGAAUCGUGCUUGCAGACUGCAAAGUCCAUGAGGCAGGGAGAUGUGUAACCUGUGCUAAAUGAUGACGGCCUUGUUCAAGUGUGCACUAUAUGCCAAACAGUGUUCCAAACUUUAAAUGUAUGAAUUCAUUUAUUUACAAUGACUAUGAGCUAUGUACCAUUAUUACUCCCACUUGACAGAAGAACCAACAGGUCCAAAGACAUAGUUUCUCCAGCAAAGCUCGGCACCAUCUACCCUAGAGGCUAGGUCAGCCCGGCUAGAUAAAAGAAGAUGAAAAUUAAUGCAAUGUCCUUAUUUUUAAAAGAUACCUUAUUUCUAAGAUGGACUUUUUGUUUGUUUGUUUUUCACAUUUUAACCUCUGAAUUAAGGCUUCAUCUUACUGAACAAGGAAUGAGUUUGCAUUGCAUUGGAAUCACCUGCAAAGCUCGAUAAAACACAUAUUUCUGGGCCUCAUCCUCAAUUUCUGAUUCAGGAUUGUCUUCAAUUGAGCCUGCACAUUCUCAUUUCUAACAAGCCAUGGAAGACCACAGUUCGAGAACCACUGAGGUGUUUCUUAUUUAGCAUUUGCAGCCAUAUCUGUGAAAACCUCUUGAAGCAGUGAAAAUGAAUUCCAUCCACAUGUAACAACACGGAUGAAUCUAAAAAACACUACUGUGAGCUGAACACAUGUAUCAGGAGAAUUUACAGUAUAAGAUGCUGUUUCUUUCAUGUUAACAUUCAAGCUAAAAUUACAUUGCAUAGGAACUCAUAUAUAUGAAAACAUAGAAAAGUCAGAAAAUUAUUAAACUAGAAAUCCAGGUUAGUAGAUGCCUCUUCGGGGGAAAGUUGAAGUUGUGAGUGCAGUGGAACACACAACGUACAGACAUUUGUUUUAAAAUGUCCAAGCGCAAAAUUAAAAAUUUUGUUUGUACCCAGAAAUG